rnacentral:rRNA from 1 species
GAUGAACGCUGGCGGCGUGCCUAAUACAUGCAAGUCGAGCGAACAGACGAGGAGCUUGCUCCUCUGACGUUAGCGGCGGACGGGUGAGUAACACGUGGAUAACCUACCUAUAAGACUGGGAUAACUUCGGGAAACCAGAGCUAAUACCGGAUAAUAUAUUGAACCGCAUGGUUCAAUAGUGAAAGACGGUUUUGCUGUCACUUAUAGAUGGAUCCGCGCCGCAUUAGCUAGUUGGUAAGGUAACGGCUUACCAAGGCGACGAUGCGUAGCCGACCUGAGAGGGUGAUCGGCCACACUGGAACUGAGACACGGUCCAGACUCCUACGGGAGGCAGCAGUAGGGAAUCUUCCGCAAUGGGCGAAAGCUUGACGGAGCAACGCCGCGUGAGUGAUGAAGGUCUUCGGAUCGUAAAACUCUGUUAUUGGGGAAGAACAAAUGUGUAAGUAACUAUGCACGUCUUGACGGUACCUAAUCAGAAAGCCACGGCUAACUACGUG